rnacentral:rRNA from 1 species
AUUGAACGCUGGCGGCAUGCUUUACACAUGCAAGUCGAACGGCAGCGCGGGCUUCGGCCUGGCGGCGAGUGGCGAACGGGUGAGUAAUGCAUCGGAACGUGCCCAGUAGUGGGGGAUAGCCCGGCGAAAGCCGGAUUAAUACCGCAUACGACCUGAGGGUGAAAGCGGGGGACCGAAAGGCCUCGCGCUAUUGGAGCGGCCGAUGUCGGAUUAGCUAGUUGGUGGGGUAAAGGCUUACCAAGGCGACGAUCCGUAGCUGGUCUGAGAGGACGACCAGCCACACGGGGACUGAGACACGGCCCAGACUCCUACGGGAGGCAGCAGUGGGGAAUUUUGGACAAGGGGGGCAACCCUGAUCCAGCCAUGCCGCGUGCGGAAGAAGGCCUUCGGGUUGUAAACCGCUUUUGUUCGGGAAGAAAUCCUCUGGGCUAAUACCCCGGGGGGAUGACGGUACCGGAAGAAUAAGCACCGGCUAACUACGUG